rnacentral:lncRNA from 1 species
AUUCAGAGGAGAAGAACAAGUCGGAGGAGCGGACAGAAGUCAACGCAAGCUGAAUAAGGACUUCAGAACCGCACAGCUGUGAACUAGAUUGGACCGGACAGGACACCUAAACAUGGAGAAUGGCAAAACGGAAACAGAGGACAAGACAGACGACGUUUCAGAAGAUGAAGAAGAACAUGUGGAGGAGGCUAACAUAGAGAUCGCUCAGCUGCAGGGCCUCGUGGCUGAGCUGCGCGAGGGGCUCCAUGCAGCACUGAUGGAGCUGUGCGAGCUGCGUCAGAGGGACCACGGCCUGGAGGAGAAGCUCCAGGCCCAUCAGACUGACGUCGAUGAGAAGAUAAUGGGCCUGAAGAACUCGCUCAGCACUUUCAAGGAGGAGCUGAAUGUGGCGAUGUUCCACAUAAAGGAUGUGUCCAACAGACAGAGGGAGGUGCAGAAGAGGAUAGAACUGCUGCAGUCAGAAAACACCAACGAUAUCAUCUCUGUUCCACACAGAAAGAGCUCCAAGGCAGAUGUGCUAACAGCAUCAGGAGAUGAGCACAUCUGUGUGCCCAGCCAGUCCGACCUCAGUGUUAUUCAACACUUCUUCUCCAGUCUGCCACACAGCAGCUCAACACAGAGGAGCUCCACAUCCACACAGAGUGAGUCUAAAACA